UACAGAGGGUGCAAGCGUUGUUCGGAAUCAUUGGGCGUAAAGGGCGUGUAGGCGGUUUGUUAAGUCAUGUGUGAAAUCCCUCGGCUCAACCGGGGAACGACGCUUGAAACUGGCAAGCUAGAGUACCAAAGAGGGCGGUGGAAUUCCUGGUGUAGCGGUGAAAUGCGCAGAUAUCAGGAGGAACACCGGUGGCGAAGGCGGAUCUCUGGGCCUUACCUGACGCUCAGGCGCGAAAGCUAGGGGAGCGAACAGG
rnacentral:rRNA from 1 species